GGCAGUUAUAUCACCUAAACAUUAUAAUAGCGUGUAUCCUAACUAGGGUGACCCUCUUGAGCCAAAGGUUUAGGCCUAAUGAUCUUUGAAGAAAAAAUAUGCCCUUUUUAAAGCCAAUCCAUUAUCCCCCAAUUCCAUAGAUAUACACAAAUGACAUAAAUGCCCACAAAAGUCGCACAAAAGGGAUACAACCUUUAGGGAAAGGGAAAUAACAUGAAAAAAGAAAUGAUGUCCCACGUAGGGGUAAAAACUAUUAAUGCCUGAAUGUUUCUUCUAUCGUUCUUCACCCUCUUAGCUUUGUCAACUCCUCAUUAUCGGCGACAUCCGUUAAUGAUCAAUCGUUUAACUAUGCCAUAGAUGCCAUGCAACUAUCCAAAUCGAUCAAUUUCUUUCUUGGCUUGUUACAAUUCCUUCGUCAAUCAAUGUAUGAUUGAGGUAUCCUUAUACGAAGGUAAGUAAAACAAGUCUUCUUUCGCCCCCCAAAGGAUAAUGGAUUGGAUUAAACAAACAUAUAUUUAUUCAACACAUAAAUAUGAUUUGUCUAUAAUUGACUCGGGGUCAAUAGACGCAGGGCAUGUUUUCUUAUGGGCCCAAUAACCCCCUCGGGUAUUGGGUCGUCCUAGGCUCAUGCCUAAAAUAGGAUUUUGGUUUUGCUCUAUCCUAAGUAUCUAGAGUGGAUUUGAACCAGGUUUCCAAGCAGACAACUUGGGUUUGGAAAUAUGAGCAGCCAUAAGAUGACUCACGUGCUAAUAAACCGUCGUAUUUCCAACACAUUAUUUGGAAUUGAACAACAGGGGCUGGGACAUCCACGAAACCCCAAAACAGUUUAUAGAAUAAUGUAGGAAUAUGCUAUGAGAUGAAAUAAUUAAAUACCACGAAAUCAAAACAUAUAAACACAUAAAUAGUUAAUCAAAAGAUAAAAUCAAACAUUUGGUUAGAAUCUAGCUAACAAUCCCUAGCAGAGUCGCCAUUUCUGUUUUGCAGAAAUUUUGACUUUUUUAGAGUCGCCACUUAAUUUUGAAAAGAAAUUAAGAAACCUUUUAUAAAAUAUUUUAAAAGAUCCAAAACAGAAAAAUCAUUUAAAAUUUAAAGAUUCUGAGUAAGCGAUUCCUAUUAACAUUUUAGGAAGGUGUUAGCCACCUAAAUGUCCGCUAACUUGCAGUUAUCCGGUCUGUUUGAAAACAUUCUUUUGAUUAACUUCUAUAAAAGACUAAUUUGUUGAAAAGUGAUUGAUAUUUUAGAAAAAGAGUUUUGUAAGAUAGGUUUAGGCAACUUAAUAGGGAUUUUAACUAAGUCUAAACAAAACUAAUAAACAAAUAAAGACAUAAAAAAAAGAGAAGGGAUGAGAAAGUAAAGGAUUUAAGCCAUUGGGCUCAAAUCAAUGAGACUUGUCCUAGUCUAAUUGGGAUUUUAACCCAUUUCACCUGUCCUAAUCUAGUUUUCGAGCCUUUGGCUCGAAUCUUGCUCCACCUGUAUUAAAUUUACAACUUUGGCUUUGAGGUCCCGAAUGAAUGAAUAAAUAAACACCUAAAUGAAUAAACAAAAAUAAUAAAGAAAAUAAGCAACACAAUGCUAAGUGAACUAAAGAAGAUGAGGCUUUCAAGCCUCCAAAUCCUAGUGACUUUGUCGAUGUACUUGCGCUCGCUAUCUGCUUCUGUCUUCUUACUGGAAUGGCCAUAGAAUCAUUUUUGAAAUUGAACCUUAAGGAUAUGGGCCUCACUGGCCCACCUGAUAAUGAGAUAGGAAGGAGUCCAUUGUGGCCUCCAAUGCAAAUUGACAUGUGAAGGAAGAAAAGGCAAGAAAUUAGAAUCCAAAUCACAUAAUUUGAUAAAUUUAAACAUCAUUCGAUAAGGCAUAAUGAGAUGAGUAAUGGCAAAGGGACAAGAUAAAAUAAAAUAAAAUAUAGUGAUGGCAGGCGGGGAAAAGAGAAAAAUACCACAUAAUUUAACACAUUCUCUUGGGAAUGUUGCCUCCACCUUACUGUCACUUAAUACAAUCUAAUUUACUACUUGAAAGAGGUUAUAAUUAUGUGACAAUUUUUUAUUUUGAGAGCAUGAUCAAAAUACA
rnacentral:lncRNA from 1 species